rnacentral:rRNA from 1 species
AGCGAACGUUAGCGGCGCGCCUAACACAUGCAAGUCGCACGAGAAAGGGAGCAAUCCCCGGUACAGUGGCGCACGGGUGAGUAACACGUAGAUGACCUUCCCUGGAGUGGUGGAUAACCUGCCGAAAGGCGGGCUAAUACAGCAUGGGACCACAUGGUUUUGACCGAGUGGUGAAAGCGGGCCUCUGUUCACAAGCUCGCGCUCUGGGAUGGGUCUGCGUCCCAUCAGCUAGUUGGUGAGGUAAUGGCUCACCAAGGCAUCGACGGGUAGCUGGUCUGAGAGGAUGACCAGCCACACUGGAACUGAGACACGGUCCAGACUCCUACGGGAGGCAGCAGU